rnacentral:rRNA from 1 species
UAACACGUGGAUAACCUACCUAUAAGACUGGGAUAACUUCUGGAAACCGGAGCUAAUACCGGAUAAUAUUUUGAACCGCAUGGUUCAAAAGUGAAAGACGGUCUUGCUGUCACUUAUAGAUGGAUCCGCGCUGCAUUAGCUAGUUGGUAAGGUAACUGCUUACCAAGGCAACGAUGCAUAGCCGACCUGAGAGGGUGAUCGGCCACACUGGAACUGAGACACGGUCCAG